UACGAAGGGGGCUAGCGUUGCUCGGAAUUACUGGGCGUAAAGCGCAUGUAGGCGGUCCGGUAAGUCAGGUGUGAAAUCCCGGGGCUCAACCUCGGAAGGGCACAUGAUACUGCCGGACUUGAGUACUGGAGAGGAGAGUGGAAUUCCCGGUGUAGAGGUGAAAUUCGUAGAUAUCGGGAGGAACACCAGUGGCGAAGGCGACUCUCUGGACAGAUACUGACGCUGAGAUGCGAAAGCGUGGGAAGCAAACAGG
rnacentral:rRNA from 1 species